rnacentral:pre_miRNA from 1 species
UCUUAUGAAUGGGCAAAAAAGGAGAUUUCUUGAGAUGGAGUCUUCUCCUGGUGAAGAUGCUGUGAA